UACGGAGGGUGCAAGCGUUAUCCGGAUUCACUGGGUUUAAAGGGUGCGUAGGAGGGCAGGUAAGUCAGUGGUGAAAUCUCCAAGCUUAACUUGGAAACUGCCGUUGAUACUAUCUGUCUUGAAUAUUGUGGAGGUGAGCGGAAUAUGUCAUGUAGCGGUGAAAUGCUUAGAUAUACAUAGAACACCAAUUGCGAAGGCAGCUCACUACUCAAUCAUUGACUCUGAGGCACGAAAGCGUGGGGAUCAAACAGG
rnacentral:rRNA from 1 species